GGGGUUGUGGCUCAGUGGUAGAGCACUCACCUAGCAAGUGCAAGGCAUUAGGUUUGAGCCCCAACAUCA
rnacentral:tRNA from 1 species